rnacentral:rRNA from 1 species
UACGGGGGGGGGCAAGCGUUGUUCGGAAUUACUGGGCGUAAAGGGCUCGUAGGUGGCCAACUAAGUCAGACGUGAAAUCCCUCGGCUUAACCGGGGGAACUGCGUCUGAUACUGGAUGGCUUGAGUGUGGGAGAGGAAUGCGGAAUUCCAGGUGUAGCGGUGAAAUGCGUAGAUAUCUGGAGGAACACCGGUGGCGAAGGCGGCAUUCUGGACCAUUACUGACGCUGAGGAGCGAAAGCCAGGGGAGCAAAGCGGG